GUGGGGAAUAUUGGACAAUGGGCGAAAGCCUGAUCCAGCCAUGCCGCGUGUGUGAAGAAGGUCUUCGGAUUGUAAAGCACUUUAAGUUGGGAGGAAGGGCAGUAAGUUAAUACCUUGCUGUUUUGACGUUACCGACAGAAUAAGCACCGGCUAACUUCGUGCCAGCAGCCGCGGUAAUACGAAGGGUGCAAGCGUUAAUCGGAAUUACUGGGCGUAAAGCGCGCGUAGGUGGUUUUGUAAGUUGGAGGUGAAAUCCCCGGGCUCAACCUGGGAACUGCCUCCAAAACUGCAUGACUAGAGUACGGUAGAGGGUAGUGGAAUUUCCUGUGUAGCGGUGAAAUGCGUAGAUAUAGGAAGGAACACCAGUGACGAAGGCGACUACCUGGACUGAUACUGACACUGAGGUGCGAAAGCGUGGGGAGCAAACAGGAUUAGAAACCCUGGUAGUCC
rnacentral:rRNA from 1 species